rnacentral:rRNA from 1 species
AUUGAACGCUGGCGGCAGGCUUAACACAUGCAAGUCGAACGAGUGGCGGACGGGUGAGUAAUGUCUGGGAAACUACCUGAUGGAGGGGGAUAACUACUGGAAACGGUAGCUAAUACCGCAUACCAUCGGAUGAGCCCAAGUGGGAUUAGGUAGUUGGUGGGGUAAAGGCUCACCAAGGCGACGAUCCCUAGCUGGUCUGAGAGGAUGACCAGCCACACGGGAACUGAGACACGGCCCAGACUCCUACGGGAGGCAGCAGUGGGGAAUAUUGCGCAAUGGGCGCAAGCCUGAUGCAGCCAUGCCGCGUGAAUGAAGAAGGCCUUCGGGUUGUAAAGUUCUUUCAGUAGGGAGGCGUUACUCGCAGAAGAAGCACCGGCUAACUCCGUGCCAGCAGCCGCGGUAAUUC